rnacentral:rRNA from 1 species
AGUGGCGGACGGGUGAGUAACGCGUGAGAAUCUACCUUUAGGACGGGGACAACAAUUGGAAACGAUUGCUAAUACCCGAUAUGCCCUUCGGGGUGAAAUGUUUUUUCGCCUAAAGAUGAGCUCGCGUCCGAUUAGCUAGUAGGUAGUGUAAUGGACUACCUAGGCGAUGAUCGGUAGCUGGUUUGAGAGGACAAUCAGCCACACUGGGACUGAGACACGGCCCAGACUCCUACGGGAGGCAGCAGUGGGGAAUUUUCCGCAAUGGGCGCAAGCCUGACGGAGCAAUACCGCGUGGGGGAGGAAGGUCUGUGGAUUGUAAACCCCUUUUCUCAGGGAAGAAGCUCUGACGGUACCUGAGGAAUCAGCAUCGGCUAACUCCGUGCCAGCAGCCGCGGUAAUACGGAGGAUGCAAGCGUUAUCCGGAAUUAUUGGGCGUAAAGCGUCCGCAGGCGGCUAGAUAAGUCUGCUUUCAAAGAGUGGGGCUCAACCCCAUAGGGGGAGUGGAAACUGUUUAGCUAGAGUAUGGUAGGGGCAGAGGGAAUUCCCAGUGUAGCGUAAAAGGGGGCAAAAAAAGAAAACUGGGAAGGCUUGAAUUUUAGG